CGCGCAGGCGGCCCGAUAAGUGGUGUGUGAAAUCCCCUGGCUCAACCAGGGAAUUGCGCUCCAAACUGUCGGGCUUGAGGGCAGUAGAGGAAACUGGAAUUCCUGGUGUAGCGGUGAAAUGCGUAGAUAUCAGGAGGAACACUGUUGGCGAAGGCGAGUUUCUGGGCUGUCCCUGACGCUGAGGCGCGAAAGCGUGGGGGAGCAAGCA
rnacentral:rRNA from 1 species